UCAAGUGACUAAGUGUACGAGGCGGAUGCCUUGGCGAUCACAGGCGAUGAAGGACGUAGAAGCUUGCGAAAAGCUGCGGGGAGCCGGCAAACGGGCCUCGAUCCGCAGAUAUCCGAAUGGGGGAACCCACCUGGAAACAGGUAUCGUCCCGCGAGGGACGAGGCGAACGGAGUGAACUGAAACAUCUAAGUAACUCUAGGAAAAGAAAUCAACCGAGAUCUCGAAAGUAGCGGCGAGCGAAAUCGAGCCAGCCGUUUACUAUUAACUUAAUGCAUAGACGAAAGGCGUGGGAAAGCCUGCCACAGAGGGUGAUAGCCCCGUAGUUAAAAUGCAAUGAGCGGAACUAAGGUAAACAAGAAGUAGGGCGGGACACGUGGUAUCCUGUCCGAAGAUGGGGGGACCAUCCUCCAAGGCUAAAUACUCGUGAUCGACCGAUAGUGAACCAGUACUGUGAAGGAAAGGCGAAAAGAACCCCGGGAGGGGAGUGAAAUAGAAUCUGAAACCGCGUACAUACAAACAGUAGGAGCCCGCAAGGGUGACUGCGUACCUUUUGCAUAAUGGGUCAGCGACUUACGUUUUGUGGCGAGCCUAACCGAGUAGGGGAGGCGAAGCGAAAGCGAGUCCGAACAGGGCGCCUAGUCGCAAGGCGUAGACCCGAAACCAGAUGAGCUAACCAUGGCCAGGUUGAAGGUGUGGUAACACACGCUGGAGGACCGAACGAACCGGUGUUGCAAAACCGGUCGAUGAGCUGUGGUUAGGGGUGAAAGGCUUAACAAAUCUGGAGAUAGCUGGUUCUCCCCGAAAACUAUUGAGGUAGUGCCUCACGCGAUCGCUCCAGGGGGUAGAGCACUGUUAUGGCUAGGGGGACAUGGCGUCUUACCAAACCAUGGCAAACUCCGAAUACUUGGAAGCGCAGCGUGGGAGACAGAGCACCGGGUGCUAACGUCCGGACUCAAAAGGGAAACAACCCAGACCGCCGUUUAAGGUCCCUAAUAUUAACUAAGUGGGAAACGAAGUGUGAAGGCUAAGACAGUCAGGAAGUUGGCUUAGAAGCAGCCAUCCUUCAAAGAAAGCGUAAUAGCUCACUGAUCGAGUCCUCAUGCGCGGAAGAUGUAUCGGGGCUAAGUUAAUAACCGAAAGCGCGGAUUUCGCAGCAAUGCGAAGUGGUAGGGGAGCGUUCUGUAAGCCUGCGAAGGUGACUUGAGAAGGUUGCUGGAGGUAUCAGAAGUGCGAAUGCUGACAUGAGUAACGAUAAAGCGGGUGAAAAGCCCGCUCGCCGCAAGCCCAAGGUUUCCUGCUCUACGUUCAUCGGAGCAGGGUGAGUCGGCCCCUAAGGCCAGGCUGAGAAGCGUAGUCGAUGGGAAUCAGGUUAAUAAUCCUGAACCGCAUCAGAAUGCGAUGGGGGGACGGAGUUUGGAAGGUCAUCCGGGUGUUGGAUAUCCCGGUUUGUGAGAGUAGGAGGUUCGCAGGCAAAUCCGCGGACAUAUCUCCGAGUCAAAGCAUCGAGCUUUCGUUAGAAAGUGAAGUGAUUGGAAGAACUUCCAGGAAAAGCCUCUAAGCUUCAGUUUUGAUGUGACCGUACCGUAAACCGACACUGGUGGGCGAGUUGAAUAUACUAAGGCGCUUGAGAGAACUCGGGAGAAGGAACUCGGCAAAUUGACACCGUAACUUCGGAAGAAGGUGUGCCCGUGUAACGAGGCAAGGGGAAACCCCUUGAGCGUGAAAGGGUCUCAGAGAAAUGGUGGCUGCGACUGUUUAUCAAAAACACAGCACUCUGCAAAGACGAAAGUCGACGUAUAGGGUGUGAUGCCUGCCCGGUGCUGGAAGAUUAAGUGAUGAGCUGCAAGGUUCUGAUCGAAGUCCCAGUAAACGGCGGCCGUAACUAUAACGGUCCUAAGGUAGCGAAAUUCCUUGUC
rnacentral:rRNA from 1 species